CCCUCGUUUUCCUGUGCGCUGCCACCCAGUUCCUGGCUCCCUCGUUUUCACCAGCAGACCAACCAAGUCCUCCAGAUCUCAUCUCUCUCCCGAUCCCCACUUUGCCUCCUUCCUCCAGCUGCCACUAACAUCACGCCAGGGAGAGUUGCUCUUCCUGUCGAUUUCCAUGGCGGCUGCUCCGAGAACCGUAGUAGGAGCUCAGCGCUGCAUGAAGCACUCUUAGCAUCCUCCUCACGGACCCCAUCCAUGCGUGUUGUCGCUGUUGACCUCGCGAGCUCCGCUUCCGGCCAGGUCCGGCGAGCCGUGCCUGGAUCUGACCGACCUUUACCCGUCCCCCUGGCCCCUACUGGACCUCCUCGCGGCCGACGACCCGUGCACCGCCUCACCCCCAUCAUACGGAGCUUGAGAGCCCGUGCGCCUCGGUGCCUCCUCCGAGCAGCGCCCUCUGGACUCCUCCGCGCCAUGCCAACCACCGAUCUCUGCUCCAGCAAGCUAUUGUGCCUUGCCGCUGUUGUGCUGCCCCUCGCAUGGCCUGUGCCCUAUGCACCAUGGCCGUCGACCAAUAACUCUGGCAACUCCAUGUUGUUGAUGCCACCAGUUUCUGCUACUCCCCUCGAGCCUAUCCAUGGCCAUCGAACACGUCCCAGCUGUGACCGGAGUUUGACACAACCGCGGUAACACCAAGUGUCAUGAAUGAUCUUCAUCGCUCCGCAUGAGUACCACUCGUCAUGGAUCCGGCAACACCAACUGUACCACUACCGUCACCGCAGAGCCGACAAGACCGUCAAGUGAACGACUACUUUCACGACUUUCAAUACGAUGAUGUGAGGACAUCUACUUCCUCUACAAACUUGAUCUGUCAUGAAAUGCAUGCUUUGAAGGUAUAACCCCGAGUCGACCAUGCAUAAAUGAAUGUUUUCGAUGUAUAAGAUGCGUGUGUUUGCAUCGUGUAGUACGCUAGUUGCAGGUUCCUCUUUUCGUUUCACUAACGUGUGGGAACCCGGUAACCAGAAUCACCCCACCAUCUUAGCAUGACACGCACACGACCACAUUUGUUCUUUUGCACCGACAUCUCAAUGAGUUGCUAGAACCAGAAUGUUACCAUGGUA